AUUGAACGCUGGCGGCAUGCUUUACACAUGCAAGUCGAACGGUAACAGGUUAAGCUGACGAGUGGCGAACGGGUGAGUAAUGCAUCGGAACGUGCCCGAUCGUGGGGGAUAACGCAGCGAAAGCUGCGCUAAUACCGCAUACGAUCUGAGGAUGAAAGCGGGGGACCGUAAGGCCUCGCGCGAUCGGAGCGGCCGAUGUCAGAUUAGGUAGUUGGUGGGGUAAAGGCCCACCAAGCCGACGAUCUGUAGCUGGUCUGAGAGGACGACCAGCCAGACUGGGACUGAGACACGGCCCAGACUCCAACGGGAGGCAGCAGUGGGGAAUUUUGGACAAUGGGCGAAAGCCUGAUCCAGCAAUGCCGCGUGCAGGAAGAAGGCCUUCGGGCUGUAAACUGCUUUUGUACGGAGCGAAAAGGUCCUUUCUAAUACAAGGGGCUCAUGACGGUACCGUAAGAAUAAGCACCGGCUAACUACGUGCUAGCCGCCGCGGUAA
rnacentral:rRNA from 1 species